rnacentral:lncRNA from 1 species
AUGGCAAACUCCAAGUCAAGAUGAGGGAUAGUGAGGUCUGCUAGCUGGGUGAUGUGUCCUAGCUAGAAGGUGGACUGUCAUUCAUUAGUGAUAUUGCACAUCCUGAACCUGGGGACCUUCCCCACCCAGAAACCAGACUUCGAACACUUUGGACAAGACAUGAUACAGAUUUUGUUUCAGAAUGCAUCCACCUGUGUUUGGACUCUGCAAAGAUUCCUAGAAGACUGUGAUAACAGUUGAUGAAAAUAGUUUAAGACCAUAUGUUGCUACAAAAUUGAAGGAUCUUAUACGUAACAACAGUGCUGAGGAGUGUGCACACAAAAAAAAAGCAAAACCCCAAACACUGAUAUAUAGCCCAAUCUUACAUAAAAUUUACAUAAGGACAGGUGAACAACACAUUGACAAUCGUUCCAGAGAGUCUGAUUUAUGGCUGUGAUGACCUUUAUAAAUAUCUCAAAGAAUCCUUAAUCGUUCUAUGAUUCUGUGAAGAGUCAAGAUGUAAUCACUAAUAAGCAUACUCUAAGAAGCGCAGCCAUUUAAUUGUUGGCUGUUAACUGUAACUGGUAUAAUGGUCGCUUCAUGAGGAACUGUUCUCCUAAGGGAAAGGAAAAUUCAUAUUGUGAUAACCAUAUGUAUUGGAGCAACAACAAAAAAAGCUGUCUGGUGGAUUUACGAAUACUUCGUCCUCUCAGAGACACACACUUUAAUAAAAGACAACUUUGUACUCAAGCUACGGGAGCAAGAAGUACGGCAGACUGCAAAUUUGGAAGAAGGGCUGCCUCUUCUCUUCUGAAAUUAACUCUUCAUAUAGAAACACCUACUCUGUCAUAUUGAGAGUUAUUGACUCCAGAGUUACUGACACUGGUCCAGAGGAGCAUCUGAGGGGUUAGCAUAAUGCCAGUAACAGAGAUAGAAGCUAAGAAGUGCAUGUAUUAACAACAUCAGUUGUAUUACUUUCAUUAUUAUGACCUUUUCUAUAUGAUUCUAUGAUAUAAGCACUCUGCCCACGUGUCUGCUUUUCUGUAAUAAUUAGAACUAGAUUAAUGAUGAUUUCUGAAUUAGACUGUUGAGAUUUAAAUUAUGCUAACAAUAUAUUCUUGGCUUAAAUUAAUGCAUAUAUAAGAUAUGCUUCCUCUACACCCAUAAGAAAUAUUUGAAUGUAAUAGAAUUCAACCUACCUUACCACUGCUGCCCUUUCUGUCUUGCUGUUCUAACUUCUAGUUGACAUAAAUGGACAAGUAGCCAGCUCAUAGAGCUGACACCACUUGGUAUUCAGCAAAAUGUCUGCGUACAGAGGAGAGAUCUGAUGUCAGUACAGUAAUCUGUAUUCUCACGUUAGUGUUUUUGUUUCAAUCAGGAGUGAAGCUUAAGGGAGGAUCUUACAAUAACUCUGAUGUGUUAUACUUUGGUUUCUGUUGCGGAGCUUGGAAGAUCACAAACUGAAUUCUGCUGGGAAAAAAUUAGGUAAGAAGAGGUUAGGGCCUCACCAAAAGCACUCCAGCUGGAAAUGGCCAUGCAGACCGUGGCACUAGGUUAGAGUAAUACUAAGCAAAAAGCUUCGAGAUACGAAGAGUAUGAGAACAACAUCCAUAAAAACAACCCUUGUUUACUGCAGGUCCAAUUCUGCUGCUCCAAGUUAUAUCUUAAAUUAGAAACAGAAUGUGUUUCUGGCAAAAACUGGUGAGGUUUUCUACCUCCUACAUGUCAACAGUGCUCAAGAAGCUUAGACACAUGACCUUCUUUCCAAAUUCCCUGCCUUCUUGCACCAAGGAACAUUUGUUCCUUUGCUCUGAUAAAUGCCUGAGUUGCUGAUGACAGUAUCAUUUAACUCUCC